GCAAAAGAAUGGAGUAUAGAUCAGCUGGGCAAAUGGAGACUAUUCUUCACGGAGCAGCUACUUCUAACGGCACUAGAUAGCUUUCAGGAGAUUGACCGACUCAAAUUCCUACAACAUUCUUGGCUCAAGGAACAGCCUGAAAAAGAGUGAUUGGUUCAGGACUGGACAUGAAGCUGAUACCUAAGCCAAGCUGGAGAUGGGCAUCCUUGGCAACAGUGGUUGUUUUGUGAUGGAUGAGGACAUGUCCAAUGGAUGCUGGACAUGCAGCUACAUCUUCCACUCCAGGAGCAAAACGUAUUGAGCAACUGCUCUGUGACAAGACUUGUACCGGACCCUGGGAAAAACACAAAGAGGAAUUCGACAGAGCCCUCAAGGAAGAGCCAUCUCCUGGAAGAGA